rnacentral:rRNA from 1 species
GAUGAACGCUAGCGGCAGGCCUAAUACAUGCAAGUCGAACGGGGCCAGGUAGCAAUACCUGGUUCAGUGGCGCACGGGUGCGUAACGCGUAUGCAACCUACCUUUAACUGGGGGAUAGCCCCGGGAAACCGGGAUUAAUACCGCAUAAUAUCAUUUGAGGGCAUCUGAGGAUGAUUAAAGAUUUAUUGGUUAAAGAUGGGCAUGCGUGCCAUUAGCUAGUUGGUAGUGUAACGGACUACCAAGGCGACGAUGGCUAGGGGUUCUGAGAGGAUGAUCCCCCACACUGGUACUGAGAUACGGACCAGACUCCUACGGGAGGCAGCAGUAGGGAAUUAUUGGGCAAUGGAGGCAACUCUGACCCCAGCCAUGCCGCGUGCAGGAAAGAAAGGCCUCUGGGUUGUAAACUGCUUUUUACGGGAAGAAAAUGCCCUUGCGAGGGACACUGACGGUACCGUAAGAAUAAG